rnacentral:rRNA from 1 species
AUGAGGUCGCUCAUCUCCGAGCACGCGCGCCACUCCCCCGCGCGGCCUCCGCCCUUCUCCGGCGGCGAGACCCCGUCGCGGCGCCGCAUUCCCAAGGAGAACGUCUACUCGGGGACUGCGCCGCCGUCCGGGGACCCCUACCGCUCCCCUUCCUCCGCCGCCAAGCCGCUCGGGGACAUCACGCCCACACUCAACCGUGCCCUCCCGCCGCGGCCCCUCAAGCGGAAGCUCGACGUCUCCCCCGCCGUGGGCCCGCGGCCGGAAGCGGAAGCUGCCGACUCCGGGGUCCAGGUUGUGGUGAGGAUACGGCCCCCGUGCUCGGUGGAGGGGGAGGAGGCACCUGACACGUGCCUCUGCAAAACGUCGGCCAACUCUGUCGCCAUUCAAGGCCAGGGCUUCACCUUCGACGCCAUCGCCGACGCAGCCUCUACGCAGGAAGAGUUUUUCACACCUGUUGGGCCACCACUCGUCGAGAAUUGUUUGGCGGGGUUGAACAGCUCGAUUUUUACCUAUGGCCAGACUGGGAGUGGAAAGACAUACACUAUGUGGGGCCCUCUCUCUGCAACUUCAGGUGACUCAAUGGCCUGCGAGAGGGGACUGGCACCCCUUGUUUUUGAGCACUUGUUCUCCCGCAUUAAACAAGAACAGCAGAAGCACAAAGACAAGGAGCUAAUUUACAGUUGCACCUGCGCUUUUCUCGAUAUCUACAACGAACAGAUAACUGAUUUGCUAGACCCCAUGCAAAAGAAUCUUCAGAUAAGAGAGGAUGUUAAAACUGCUUGUGUUUAUGUUGAAUCGUUGACAAAGGAGUCUGUUUUCGCUAUGAAGGAUGUAGCUCAGCUGUUGGUGAAGGGGUUGGCAAACCGGAGAACAGAGUCAACAAGUGCCAAUGCAGACAGUUCACGCUCUCAUUGUGUUUUCACAUGUGUCAUCAAAUCUGAAUCAAAGAAUCUCGAAGAUGGCUCAAACAGCAUUAGAAUGAGCAGGAUGAAUUUAGUAGAUCUUGCUGGAUCUGAGCGGCAAAAGCUAACCCAUGCAGCUGGGGAUCGCCUAAAAGAAGCAGGAAAUAUAAACCGGUCACUUUCAGCACUUGGAAACUUGAUUAAUAUACUAGCAGAAAUUUCACAAUCUGGAAAACAAAGACAGCAUGUUCCGUAUCGCAAUUCAAAGUUGAAAUUUCUAUUACAAGAAUCCCUGGGUGGUAAUGCAAUGCUUGCAAUGAUUUGUACUGUUUCGCCGUCAGAAAGCUGUAAGAGUGAAACCUUGAGCACUCUAAGGUUUGCCCAACGCGCCAAGGCUGUAAAAAACAGGGCAGUUGUCAAUGAAGAAAAAGAGGACGAUGUCAAUGCACUGCAUGUUCGGAUGAAGCUUUUAAAGGAUAACAUUGUGGAUGCUGCUGAUUGGGCAGAGGCUGAGAGUAAAUGGAUGGCUCUGGCAGAUGAGCUGAGGGCCGAGCUUGAAGCAAGCAAAUCCCUUGUUGGGAGGUUGCGGUCGGAAUUGGAGUCAGAGAAGAAAUGCUCGAAGGAGGCACUGGAAGCAGCAAUGCAGGCAUAUUCCAGAAUCUUGGUACAAUAUGCUGAGCUUGAAGAAAAGUAUAUUCUUGAUGGGGUCGAGGGCCAGCUGAAGGAUACAUCUGAAGGUCCUGGCGAAUUGUUAGUCCGAUUGAAGGAGGCUGAGGAGGCGACAAGAAUUGCCGAGCACUGA